rnacentral:rRNA from 1 species
GAUGAACGCUGGCGGCGUGCCUAAUACAUGCAAGUCGAGCGAACAGACGAGGAGCUUGCUCCUCUGACGUUAGCGGCGGACGGGUGAGUAACACGUGGAUAACCUACCUAUAAGACUGGGAUAACUUCGGGAAACCGGAGCUAAUACCGGAUAAUAUAUUGAACCGCAUGGUUCAAUAGUGGAAGACGGUUUUGCUGUCACUUAUAGAUGGAUCCGCGCCGCAUUAGCUAGUUGGUAAGGUAACGGCUUACCAAGGCAACGAUGCGUAGCCGACCUGAGAGGGUGAUCGACCACACUGGAACUGAGACACGGUCCAGACUCCUACGGGAGGCAGCAGUAGGGAAUCUUCCGCAAUGGGCGAAAGCUUGACGGAGCAACGCCGCGUGAGUGAUGAAGGUCUUCGGAUCGUAAAACUCUGUUAUUAGGGAAGAACAAAUGUGUAAGUAACUAUGCACGUCUUGACGGUACCUAAUCAGAAAGCAACGGCUAACUACGUG